rnacentral:rRNA from 1 species
UACGAAGGGGGCUAGCGUUGUUCGGAAUCACUGGGCGUAAAGCGCACGUAGGCGGAUGUGCCAGUCAGGGGUGAAAUCCCGGAGCUCAACUUCGGAACUGCCUCUGAUACAGCACGUCUUGAGUCCGGAAGAGGUGGGUGGAAUUCCUAGUGUAGAGGUGAAAUUCGUAGAUAUUAGGAAGAACACCGGUGGCGAAGUCGGCCCACUGGUCCGGUACUGACGCUGAGGUGCGAAAGCGUGGGGAGCAAACAGG